CCUACGGGUGGCAUCAGAGCAGAAUCAUCCACAAUGGGCGAAAGCCUGAUGGUGCGACGCCGCGUGAGGGAUGAAGGCCUUAGGGUUGUAAACCUCUGUUGAGAGCUAGGAACAUGUUGGGGAUUAACACUCUCCGAUAUUGACCAACUCUUGAGGAAGCUCCGGCUAACUCCGUGCCAGCAGCCGCGGUAAGACGGAGGGAGCUAGCGUUACUCGGAAUCACUGGGCGUAAAGGGCGUGUAGGCGGAUUAGAAAGUCGGGCGUGAAAUACCUCGGCUCAACCGAGGAAUUGCGUCCGAAACUUCUUUUCUUGAGUGUGGGAGGGGAGAGUGGAACUCCUGGUGGAGCGGUGAAAUGCGUAGAUAUCAGGAGGAACGCCGGUGGCGAAAGCGGCUCUCUGGUCCACUACUGACGCUGAGGCGCGAAAGCCAGGGGAGCAAACG
rnacentral:rRNA from 1 species